rnacentral:rRNA from 1 species
ACCAACGACUGUGCCACGUUGAAUACACCAGUCCUAAUAAGAUCACUGAAGUUAAGCGACAUUGGGCGUGGUCAGUACUUGGAUGGUGACCGUCUGGGAGAUCACGUGUUGUUGGUC